rnacentral:pre_miRNA from 1 species
AAGAGAAGAGCCUAUCUAGUUAGCCAAAGAAAACUGCUUGAAGCCAACCUAAAUCUUCAUAUAGUGCCUCGAAAACAAAGUCCAUUGGAGCAGGAAAGUCAUCCUUGGCUAUCUCAAUUUCACACUAAACUUCUCU